ACAGGUGUAUAAAGGUGUGAACAGGUGUACAAAGGUGUGAACAGGUGUAUAAAGGUGUAUAAAGGUGUAUACAGGUAUAUACAGGUGUACAAAGGUGUG